UGAGGAAUAUUGGUCAAUGGGCGAGAGCCUGAACCAGCCAAGUCGCGUGAAGGAAGACUGCCUUAUGGGUUGUAAACUUCUUUUAUACAGGAAUAAAAAGGCUUACGUGUAGGCCAUUGCAAGUACUGUAUGAAUAAGCAUCGGCUAACUCCGUGCCAGCAGCCGCGGUAAUACGGAGGAUGCGAGCGUUAUCCGGAUUUAUUGGGUUUAAAGGGUGCGCAGGCGGGCUUUUAAGUCAGCGGUGAAAUCUGGACGCUUAACGUCCAAACUGCCGUUGAAACUGGGAGUCUUGAGUAUGGAUGAAGUAGGCGGAAUUCGUUGUGUAGCGGUGACAUGCAUAGAUAUAACGAGGAACUCCGAUUGCGUAGGCAGCUUACUAAGCCAUAACUGACGCUCAUGCACGAAAGCGUGGGGAUCAAACAGGAUUAGAUACCCUGGUAGUCCACGCCGUAAACGAUGAUUACUAGUUGUAUGCGAUAUGAUAGUAUGUGACUAAGCGAAAGCGAUAAGUAAUCCACCUGGGGAGUACGCCGGCAACGGUGAAACUUAAAGGAA
rnacentral:rRNA from 1 species